AUUGAACGCUGGUGGCAGGCCUAACACAUGCAAGUCGAGCGGAUGAGGGGAGCUUGCUCCCUGAUUUAGCGGCGGACGGGUGAGUAAUGCCUAGGAAUCUGCCUGGUCGUGGGGGAUAACGUUCCGAAAGGAACGCUAAUACCGCAUACGUCCUACGGGAGAAAGCAGUGGACCUUCGGGCCUUGCGCUAUCUGCUGAGCCUAGGUCGGAUUAGCUAGUUGGUGAGGUAAUGGCUCACCAAGGCGACGAUCCGUAACUGGUCUGAGAGGAUGAUCAGUCACACUGGAACUGAGACACGGUCCAGACUCCUACGGGAGGCAGCAGUGGGGAAUAUUGGACAAUGGGCGAAAGCCUGAUCCAGCCAUGCCGCGUGUGUGAAGAAGGUCUUCGGAUUGUAAAGCACUUUAAGUUGGGAGGAAGGGCUGCUGGUGAAUACCCUGCAGUUUUGACGUUACCAACAGAAUAAGCACCGGCUAACUUCGUG
rnacentral:rRNA from 1 species